UACGGAGGGGGCUAGCGUUGUUCGGAAUUACUGGGCGUAAAGCGCACGUAGGCGGAUCAGCAAGUUAGGGGUGAAAUCCCGGGGCUCAACCCCGGAACUGCCUUUAAAACUGUUGGUCUGGAGGUCGAGAGAGGUGAGUGGAAUUCCGAGUGUAGAGGUGAAAUUCGUAGAUAUUCGGAGGAACACCAGUGGCGAAGGCGGCUCACUGGCUCGGUACUGACGCUGAGGUGCGAAAGCGUGGGGAGCAAACAGG
rnacentral:rRNA from 1 species